CCAAUUUUAAUUGGUCCAACACAUUGUGUGGGCCAAAGGAAAUAAGGAGAUAUUUUAAGGGACUUAAAAGAUGACUUCAAGUCAUCUUCUCAUCACUUUAUCACUUAGAAGAAAAAAAAAAAAAAGAGCAACAAGCCAUGGAGGCUCACGGCUUGGACAUGGAAAAAAAUCAAGUCCAAAUUUUGCCUCUCCAAAAUUAAUUCUUUGGUACAAACCCACUAAUUAGAGGUCCCUAAGUAACGUGGAAGUGUCGUUGGAGCGAGCAAGCCAUCAAAUUUGUGGAUUUCAAACCCUAGCCUAAUGGUGGAGUAAAGAAGAAAGACCUUGGGGAGCCCGAGGCGUAGAUCGGAAAUUACUUUAGAUUGGCCAUCUUGGAGUGCGUACGAGGUA